UACGGGGGGGAGCAAGCGUUGUUCGGAUUUACUGGGCGUAAAGGGCGCGUAGGCGGCCACCGCAAGUCGACUGUGAAAUCUCCGGGCUUAACCCGGAAAGGUCAGCCGAUACUGCGGGGCUAGAGUGCAGAAGGGGCAACUGGAAUUCUCGGUGUAGCGGUGAAAUGCGUAGAUAUCGAGAGGAACACCUGCGGCGAAGGCGGGUUGCUGGGCUGACACUGACGCUGAGGCGCGAAAGCGUGGGGAGCAAACAGG
rnacentral:rRNA from 1 species